rnacentral:tRNA from 1 species
GCAACUGUCGUUUAAUGGAAAGAUAAUGGGCUGCUAACCCGUCGAUGCACGUUCGACUCGUGCCAGUUGCU